AUUCCAGACCCAGAGAAAAGGCAGAAACACAGAUUCCAACAACUAGAUACUGCAUGACACCAUGGUUACGUUUGAGCUUGAAGGACACAUGCGGCAACCACUCAUACCAUAAACAACAAGAAAGAAACUCAUACUAGAAUUGCGUGGACUGCAUGGAAAAGAAUGUUGAGGGGUUCUCCCUAAAAGAAGACUUUUAAGCAGGAUUGCUGACUGCAAGACCAGACCUUUGGUCUUGUGAUUAGAGUUUCAGGUCUCCAGCUACCGAAGAAUCUUACCAUCCACAGUAUUUUGGGUUCCACGUGGAUUUGGAUCGCUUUCCAACGAUGAGUUUUUGACCAUUUUGUGGUGACGAGUUUUCGCUUUUGUUAAUGCAGAGGAGCUAGCAGUGUGAUCUUGCUCCUCGGAAUGUCUGCUCAGCCGGAUCAAUGUGUCGAGGAGGUAAGCUGAAAGUUCAUCAUGAAGUGCAGAUAGGUACUGCAUUAGACACUGAGCAUUUGAAGCUUUUGGGUUCUUGAAGUCAUGCUGGGAGUUGUCCUUUCAUGCGAUAGCGUUGGUAGUUGUCGAUUUGAACUUUGACUGCCAUGCAGUCGAAGUACGUGCUCCUCGCUUUCUCGUUCUUGGUUGUGGGAAACCUAAAACCCGCACUGACUCGCACGGAAGUGAUUGCGAUUUCUGGUUGAAGAAGACAAUUCAUGAGGCAACGCUUGGUGGACACCUGAUAGCAGAGCAUCACCUAAUCUUCCAUUGCGGUCCAAAAGUUGGAAGGUACCACCUCAGGAUACAGACCGGAGACAAGCUCACAACGCCCGUGAAGUGAAGAAUUCUGCAGACAUGUCCAUGCGAGACUUGUCUGGUUUAGGGUUACGCUCAAAAUUGUCACGAACGAUGGUCCAGAGCGUUUGCAUGGUCGGACAGUCAAUUGUACUUCCAUGAGAUCCGGUAAAUAGUGUGGCUCAUCCACAGUACGGUGGACUCAUGUACAGUUUUCAAGUCCCAAACGUUUCAAACAAAUGCUUACAUGCCGUCCAAACCUAUACAACCUCAAGAGGAAAAUAUCACAACAAAAAUGUUCGAGUCGUCAAAGACAAUCGAAACCUGCUGGAAAAACGAGUAGCAUUUCCAAGGUUAAUGACUCGAGUGUGAUUCUAAAUUAAUGGACAACCUCCAGGGAGACGUUU